AUAUUACUUUCUUCGUUUUGAAUUACUUGUCUUAGAUUUGUCUAGAUACGGAUAUAUCUAGACUUAUUUUAGUGCUAGAUACCUCCGUAUCUAGACAACUCUAAGACAAAUAAUUCGGAACGGAGGAAGUAUAUU
rfam:Triticum urartu cultivar G1812 contig2544, whole genome shotgun sequence.